ACUUCCUGUUGAGCUUCUCUGGAGCAGACCACGCCAUCUCUAAAGAGGAAUUUGGAGGGCAACUGGGAGCAAAAAUCCCUGCUAUCUGCUGCUCCGGCCUUUAAACAGGAAAUGGAAAUAGAUGUGUUACCAGUCCCCCCAUCUCUGGAAACCCAAGGGAACAUGAGGACAUACUGGUGAAUUGGGGACUGAAGAGAACAUGAAAUUAGAAAGUAGGAUGCUGAAGACAAAUUUAGGAGUAAUCAAGGUACAAGCAGAAGUUAGAACAGCAG